rnacentral:rRNA from 1 species
GACGAACGCUGGCGGCGUGCCUAAUACAUGCAAGUUGAGCGAUGAAGAUUGGUGCUUGCACCAAUUUGCAGAGCAGCGAACGGGUGAGUAACGCGUGGGGAAUCUGCCUUUGAGCGGGGGACAACAUUUGGAAACGAAUGCUAAUACCGCAUAACAACUUUAAACAUAAGUUUUAAGUUUGAAAGAUGCAAUUGCAUCACUCAAAGAUGAUCCCGCGUUGUAUUAGCUAGUUGGUGAGGUAAAGGCUCACCAAGGCGAUGAUACAUAGCCGACCUGAGAGGGUGAUCGGCCACAUUGGGACUGAGACACGGCCCAAACUCCUACGGGAGGCAGCAGUAGGGAAUCUUCGGCAAUGGACGAAAGUCUGACCGAGCAACGCCGCGUGAGUGAAGAAGGUUUUCGGAUCGGAAAACUCUGUUGGUAGAGAAGAACGUUGGUGAGAGUGGAAAGCUCAUCAAGUGACGGUAACUACCCAGAAAGGGACGGCUAACUACGUG